UUCAGUUCUUCGUGAGUCCUAUCCAGUUAGUGUUCCACCCGAAUUUAAGCACCAAGCCGUUCGUGUUAGCUAGUACUUAGUUUGGCAUUACCGCGUCUGUUAACAGCGCACAUUUAUAUUUAAAAGAUUUUGGAGACACUAUGUCUAAUACAACUGGUACAGUUAAAUGGUUCGACGAGAGCAAAGGUUUCGGUUUCAUCACUCCUACUGAUGGCGGCAAAGACGUAUUCGUACAUUUCCGCGCUAUCGUUUCUGAUGACGGCUACCGCACUUUGCAAGAAGGCCAAGAAGUUCAGUUCACUGUUGAACAAGGCGCUAAAGGCCCACAAGCUACACAAGUUACUGCUGUUUAAUUACGGCGCUAAUCUGUGAUGUAAUUGAGCGCAUACGCUCACUUGCAAUAAGAAAUACCCGAGCUUGAGCUUGGGUAUUUUUU
rnacentral:sRNA from 1 species